rnacentral:rRNA from 1 species
UGAGGAAUAUUGGGCAAUGCCCGCAAGGGUGACCCAGCAACGCCGCGUGGAGGAUGAAUGUCGUAAGAUUGUAAACUCCUGUUAGAGGGGAAGAAUAGUACCGGUUGGACCGGUAUAUGACUGUACCCUCAGAGAAAGCCCCGGCUAACUACGUGCCAGCAGCCGCGGUAAUACGUAGGGGGCAAGCGUUGCCCGGAUUUACUGGGUGUAAAGGGCGCGCAGGCGGGAUAAAAAGUCAGUGGUGAAAUCCUACAGCUUAACUGUAGAACUGCCUUUGAUACUUUUAUUCUUGAGUUCGGGAGAGAGAGACGGAAUUCCAGGGGUAGUGGUGAAAUACGUAGAUAUCUGGAAGAACACCAGUUGCGAAGGCGGUCUCUUGGUCCGACACUGACGCUGAGGCGCGAAAGCUUGGGGAGCAAACA